GUUAGGGUUACAGAAAGUGAUGUGAUCGGGGAGUAUGGAGAUGCAGAGGAGACCGUUGCAUGAACCGAAGAAAGUGACGCGGUUGCUGUUACACUUCAACAUAAGGCAGUCGUGUGAAUAUUCGAUGGUUAGGUUAUGGAAAUCAUCGAGUUUGUAGAGAUCUGAGCUGUAACGGACGAUGAGGCUGAAGUUGAGGAAGUUUUUGAGGUGAAGGAUGGUGAACGAAGUGAUUUCGAUGUAGAUCGAAAUCGGAGGAGGGAUUCUACAGGUAGCAUGGAGAGAAUAUCAGUGAGUAACUCCGACGGAAUAUUCGCCAUCAUUGGGAGGGGAUUGCUGAUAAUAAUCGAUUUUGAAGUUGAUCCGCAGUAAG
rnacentral:lncRNA from 1 species